rnacentral:lncRNA from 1 species
UUUUUUGAAGAAUGUUGAACAAAUAAUGCUAACAGUUGAGCAUGUAUGAUAGUCAAACUACUAAUAAAGACCUACAAUAUAAUUUAAAUAAUUAAUAUCUACAUAUAAAAGUAGUAAAUUACCCUCACUAAUCAUUUUUAGAGGGUUCCAAUUAAUUUUAAUCUAAUAAUUAAAGACCCAAAGAUCAUUGUAUAAUAACUGACCAAUCAUAUCCUUACAAAGAAAAUACUCAAUUCAGGUCCAUCAUUUGCAUCUGGGCUCAACAUGUAUAGUGUUUCAGCAUCUUUUGAUUUAACCACACGUUCAAAAUGUGCCCUCAUAUACGUCAUCUCGCCGUCUGGUCCUUCCACGUCAGAUUUUCCCGGCAACACGCCGGCGCCCCAACAUGUAUAGUGUUGCAGCAUCUUUUGAUUUAACCACACGUUCAAAAUGUGCCCUCAUAUAUGUCAUCUCGCCGUCCGGUCCUUCCACGUCAGAUU